rnacentral:tRNA from 1 species
UCCCUGGUGGUCAAGAUGUUAAGACUCUGCACUUCCAAAGCAGGGGACAUAGGUUUGAUCCCUGGUCGGGGAA